CGGCUUUGUCGCCAGUCAACCUCGUCACUGCCUCUUCCACAAACCCACCGUGGUGCUGCUGCCCUGUCCCGGUAGAGUGACCGUGAUGCCCGCCAGCAACCUUCGACACCGCCUCUCCCACAAUCCCACCGUGCUGCUGCCCUGGCAUGUGGUGGGUCCCGGCCCCGACCCCGGCCGGAUGAUCGUGGUGCCCGCCGGUCAAUGUCGACACCGCCUCUCCCACAAUACCACCACCGUGGGUCUGCCCUGUCCCGUAGCCGUGAUGACCAACCGAAGCUCCUGCCCCUCCGGUUCCAGUGGUUCCG
rnacentral:lncRNA from 1 species